GGGGGCGGGCUGCCGGCCGAGACUUCUGGAUGGCGGCGGCCGCGGCUCCGCCCCGGGUUCCCACCGCCUGAAGGGCGAGACAAGCCCGACCUGCUACAGGCACUCGUGGGGGUGGGGGAGGAGCGGGGGUCGGUCCGGCUGGUUUGUGGGUGGGAGGCGCUUGUUCUCCAAAAACCGGCGCGAGCUGCAAUCCUGAGGGAGCUGCGGUGGAGGAGGUGGAGAGAAGGCCGCACCCUUCUGGGCAGGGGGAGGGGAGUGCCGCAAUACCUUUAUGGGAGUUCUCUGCUGCCUCCCGUCUUGUAAGGACCGCCCUGGGCCUGGAAGAAGCCCUCCCUCCUUUCCUCCUCGCGUGAUCUCGUCAUCGCCUCCAUGUCGAGUCGCUUCUCGAUUAUGGGCGGGAUUCUUUUGCCUAGGCUUAAGGGGCUAACUUGGUCCCUGGGCGUUGCCCUGCAGGGGAGUGAGCAGCUGUAAGAUUUGAGGGGCGACUCCGAUUAGUUUAUCUUCCCACGGACUAGAGUUGGUGUCGAGGUUAUUGUAAUAAGGGUGGGGUAGGGAAAUGGAGCUUAGUCAUUCACCUGGGGCUGAUUUUAUGCAACGAGACUGCGGAUUAUCACUACUUAUCAUUUUUGGAGCAUUUUUCUAGAGACAGACAUAAAGCAUGAUCACCUGAGUUUUAUACCAUUUGAGACCCUUGCUGCACCACCAAAGUGUAGCAUCAGGUUAAAUCUUAAUAGAAAAAUUUUAGCUUUUGCUUGAGAAACCAGUGCUUCCCUCCCUCACCCUCUCUCCCCAGGCUCUCUACCCCUUUGCAUCCCUACCAGGCAUCUUAGCAACUCUCACUCAUACUUGAUCCCAUUUUCCAUUUGUUGUACUUGCUCCUCUAGUAUUCAGACAUAGCACUAGCUUUCUCCCUCUCUUGAUCUUGGGUAGCCUGGUGUCUCGCGAAACCAGACAGAUUGGUUCCACCACAAAUUAAGGCUUGAGCUGGGGCUUGACUCUUACCCAGCAGUGCUUUUAUUCCUCCCUAGUUCACGUUCUUAAAUGUUUAUCUUGAUUUUCAUUUUAUCCUUUUUCCUUAGCUGGGAUUCUGUCCCUGACCGUCUUCACAGUCCAGGUGAUCUUGACUACUGCUUUACAGAGAAUUGGAUCUGAGGUUAGGCAACAUCUCCCUUUUUCUUCCUCUAAAUACCUCUCAUUUCUGUUCUUACCAGUUAGUAACUGAUCUCAGAUGCCUGUGUGAUAGCUUCCAAAUUGCUGUCUCUGUCUUUAGUGUUAUCUUUUGAUCCAUCUUACAUCUUGUUAGGAUGAUUGUCCUAAAGGAAGAUAGAGCAUGAAAAUGACAGGUGAAACUCCAUUACUGGCUUGUACUGUUUACAGCAAGUUGUCUAACCCGCGGGCCGCAUGGGACCCAGGACAGCUUUGAAUGCGACCCAACACAAAUUCGUAAACUUUCUUAAAGUUUUAGGAGUUUUUUUUGCGGGGUGUUUUUUUUGUUGUUGUUGUCUGUUUUUUUUUUUUGCUCAUCAGCUGUCCUUUAUAUGUGGCCCAAGACAGUUCUUGCAGUGUGGCCCAGGGAAGCCGAAAGAUUGGACACCCCUGGUUUACAGGAUGAAUUCUGUUCUCGUGAAUGUGAUGCAUAAGGUCCCUGGAUAGACUUUCCUCAAUUUAACAGCUUUUUCAUUUUUCACUAUUUUCCACAUACUACACACACAAAUAUGACCUCUCUCCUGAAGUCACAUGGAAUGAAUUGCAGUUACCCAAAUCAUAGAGACGUCAUAUAUCUUUGUGGGGUGGUUCUUUUUGGAAUGCUACCCUUGCUGCUUUUAAUCCUGCAGAUUCAAAUGUCAUCUCCCCUUUGGUCAUGCCUUCCAUGGUCUGUUGUUCUAUGACCCAAACUGCCCUUUUAAAAAAGCAGUUUUCUUCUGACUCCUGAGCAGUUUGUACUGCGUGGGUCAUAGUAAUUCUGGGGUUGUUGUCAUUGCUGAUUUAAAUUACCUUAACUAUUCUGAGCUUUUUGAAGGAAUAGUGUCUUGUACUCCUGAGCUCCUAGUAUACUCUGAUGUCUAGCCAACUUUAAGUAAAUGGAGUGAGCGACAUGUAAAUGUCUUUAUGGUUUGACAUUUUAUUAAUCUUGAGCAUUGGAAAAGUGGCUGGUAUGACUAAAGAACUGAAUUUUUAUUUUUUAUCUAAUUUGAAUUGCAACUGUGGACAGUAUAGCUGUAGCCCCGGACUUGUUCUGUGGAUUACAGAAUACGUGGACAUUGAUGGUUUUCUCUUUUUACUGAGCAGUAAGGAAAUAAAAGCUGAAGCUCUCUGGCCCAUUACAUUUCAUUUAACUGCUUGUUUUGUUUUAUUUAUUAUAUAUUUAGCUGAAAGCUAAGUCCAACAAACCAUUUUUAAAGAUGUGCCUGCCUUGGACAACAGUGAAAGCAAGCGUUAAUGAGUUUGGAUUUCAAAAAAAAAUGCAUAAUGAAUUUUAGGGAGGUGUGGAAACAGGAAGAGAACUAGAACUGGAAGUAAAGCAUUGAAGAUGUGACUGAAUUGCUGCAAUCUCAUGAUCAAAUUUGAAUGGAUGAGGAGUUGCUUUUUAGGGAUGAGCAAAGAAA
rnacentral:lncRNA from 1 species